GGGGAAUUUUCCGCAAUGGGCGAAAGCCUGACGGAGCAAUACCGCGUGAGGGAGGAAGGUCUGUGGAUUGUAAACCUCUUUUGAUAGGGAAGAACACAAUGACGGUACCUAUCGAAUCAGCAUCGGCUAACUCCGUGCCAGCAGCCGCGGUAAUACGGAGGAUGCAAGCGUUAUCCGGAAUUAUUGGGCGUAAAGCGUCCGUAGGUGGUUAAUCAAGUCUAUUGUCAAAGCCUGGGGCUUAACCCUGGAGAGGCGGUGGAAACUGGUUAACUUGAGUGCGGUAGGGGCAGAGGGAAUUCCCAGUGUAGCGGUGAAAUGCGUAGAUAUUGGGAAGAACACCGAUGGCGAAGGCAGGUCUCUGGGCCACUACUGACGCUGAGAAGCGAAAGCAUGGGGAGCGAA
rnacentral:rRNA from 1 species